rnacentral:rRNA from 1 species
GUGGGGAAUAUUGCGCAAUGGACGAAAGUCUGACGCAGCGACGCCGCGUGAGUGAUGAAGGCCUUAGGGUCGUAAAGCUCUGUUGAAUGGGAAGAAAAAAAUGACGGUACCAUUCGAGGAAGGACCGGCUAACUUCGUGCCAGCAGCCGCGGUAAUACGAGGGGUCCUAGCGUUGUUCGGAAUCAUUGGGCGUAAAGGGUGUGUAGGUGGCCAUGUAAGUCAGGUGUGAAAGCCCCGGGCUCAACCCGGGAAGUGCACUUGAUACUGCGUGGCUUGAGUACCGAAGAGGGUAGUGGAAUUCCAGGUGUAGUGGUGAAAUACGUAGAUAUCUGGAGGAACACCGGUGGCGAAGGCGGCUACCUGGUCGAGUACUGACACUGAGACACGAAAGCAUGGGGAUCAAACAGGAUUAGAUACCCGAGUAGUCC